AGCGAACGCUGGCGGCAGGCCUAACACAUGCAAGUCGAACGAACCUUUCGGGGUUAGUGGCGGACGGGUGAGUAACACGUGGGAACGUGCCCUUAGGUUCGGAAUAACUCAGGGAAACUUGUGCUAAUACCGAAUGUGCCCUUCGGGGGAAAGAUUAAUCGCCUUUAGAGCGGCCCGCGUCUGAUUAGCUAGUUGGUUGAGGUAAUGGCUCACCAAGGCGACGAUCAGUAGCUGGUCUGAGAGGAUGAUCAGCCACAUUGGGACUGAGACACGGCCCAAACUCCUACGGGAGGCAGCAGUGGGGAAUCGUGCGCAAUGGGCGAAAGCCUGACGCAGCCAUGCCGCGUGAAUGAUGAAGGUCUUAGGAUUGUAAAAUUCUUUCACCGGGGACGAUAAUGACGGUACCCGGAGAAGAAGCCCCGGCUAACUUCGUG
rnacentral:rRNA from 1 species